GCCACAUGUGGCGGCACAUACCUGUAGUCCCAGCUACUCAGCAGGCUGGGGCUGGAGAGUCGCUUGGCCCGGGAGUUCUGGUCUGUAGUGUGCUAUGCCGAUCAGGCGUCCAUGCUAAGUUCGGCAUCAGUAUGGUGGCCUCCCGGGAGCUGGGGCCACCGGGUUGUCUAAAGAGAGGGGAAACGGCCCAGGUCGGAAAUGGAGCAGGUCAAAAUUCCCGAGCUGAUCAGCAUGGGAUCGCAUCUGGGAAUAGCCACUGCACCCCAGCCUGGGCAACACAGUGAGACCUCGUCUCCU
rnacentral:SRP_RNA from 1 species